AAUGGUGGAGAUAGCGAGAGGGAGACACCUCUUCCCAUUCCGAACAGAGCAGUUAAGCCUCUUAGCGCCGAUGGUACUGGUAUUAACCGGGAGAGUAGGUCACCGCCAACU
rnacentral:rRNA from 1 species